GUUGGGUGCAGUGGCUGAAGUCUAUAGUCCCAGCUCCUUGGGAGGACGAAGCGGAGGAUCACUUGAGCUCAGGAGUUCUGGGCCAGCCUUGGCAAUAGAGUGAGACCCUGUCUCAC
rnacentral:sRNA from 1 species